rnacentral:rRNA from 1 species
AGUGAACGCUGGCGGUAGGCCUAACACAUGCAAGUCGAACGGCAGCACAGUAAGAGCUUGCUCUUACGGGUGGCGAGUGGCGGACGGGUGAGGAAUACAUCGGAAUCUACUUUUUCGUGGGGGAUAACGUAGGGAAACUUACGCUAAUACCGCAUACGACCUACGGGUGAAAGCAGGGGAUCUUCGGACCUUGCGCGAUUGAAUGAGCCGAUGUCGGAUUAGCUAGUUGGCGGGGUAAAGGCCCACCAAGGCGACGAUCCGUAGCUGGUCUGAGAGGAUGAUCAGCCACACUGGAACUGAGAGACGGUCCAGACUCCUACGGGAGGCAGCAGUGGGGAAUAUUGGACAAAGGGCGCAAGCCUGAUCCAGCCAUACCGCGUGGGUGAAGAAGGCCUUCGGGUUGUAAAGCCCUUUUGUUGGGAAAGAAAAGAAGCAGGUUAAUACCCCGCUGUUCUGACGGUACCCAAAGAAUAAGCACCGGCUAACUUCGUG